rnacentral:rRNA from 1 species
ACGCUGGCGGUAGGCCUAACACAUGCAAGUCGAACGGCAGCACAGAGGAGCUUGCUCCUUGGGUGGCGAGUGGCGGACGGGUGAGGAAUACAUCGGAAUCUACUUUUUCGUGGGGGAUAACGUAGGGAAACUUACGCUAAUACCGCAUACGACCUACGGGUGAAAGCAGGGGACCUUCGGGCCUUGCGCGAUUGAAUGAGCCGAUGUCGGAUUAGCUAGUUGGCGGGGUAAAGGCCCACCAAGGCGACGAUCCGUAGCUGGUCUGAGAGGAUGAUCAGCCACACUGGAACUGAGACACGGUCCAGACUCCUACGGGAGGCAGCAGUGGGGAAUAUUGGACAAUGGGCGCAAGCCUGAUCCAGCCAUACCGCGUGGGUGAAGAAGGCCUUCGGGUUGUAAAGCCCUUUUGUUGGGAAAGAAAUCCAGCCGGCUAAUACCUGGUUGGGAUGACGGUACCCAAAGAAUAAGCACCGGCUAACUUCGUGCCAGCAGCCGCGGUAAUACGAAGGGUGCAAGCGUUACUCGGAAUUACUGGGCGUAAAGCGUGCGUAGGUGGUUGUUUAAGUCUGUUGUGAAAGCCCUGGGCUCAACCUGGGAACUGCA